rnacentral:misc_RNA from 1 species
GAACUGCGAUAAGUGAUGUGAAUUGCAGACGUACACGAAUCAUCGAACCCUUGAACGCAUUCUGCGCCUCGAAGCUUGUCUUCGAGGCAUAUCUGGGUGAGUGUCGGUUUAACCUCCUUGCAUAAGCAAUUAUGCAGCUUUGAUAGUAAAAUUCGACUGAUUGAUUACGAUCAGAUGUAAUUUUUCUAUUAAAAUAAAUCGAUAUUCCAGAUUAGAGAUUUUUGGAAAAAUAGAGCACUCCUCUAGAUUAAAUAGAAGUAACUUUGAUUACUCUUCCUUAUCUUGACGACUUGCUUCUUAACAAAAAUUCUCUUGUCAAAGGUCUAUUUCUGUUUGUUAAAUUCAAACCUUCGACCUCACCUAGGUAAGACUACCCGCUGAAGUUAAGC